GUGCUUAUUUAGGCAGGUAGUAUAUAUAUUAAAAUUGGAAAGAUACGGAGAUUAAAUAGUAUAGCCCUUGUGCACAGAUGUCAUGCAAAUUCAUGAGUGUUCAAUUUUU
rnacentral:snRNA from 1 species